UCAUAUUCAGCAGCUGAGUCCUGAACGGGACAUUUGCUGGCUGUGCUCUGCUCCUGGGACUGCCAACCUCUUGGCACAAGUUGUUCCUCUGGCUGCAUGGAAGAGCUAAGCUCACUAACAAGAAUAUGAUCAGAACACGACCAGGGAGAUCCAGAGCCUGCACAUGGUCUGUAUUGCAGCAAAACCCCAAGAGAUGAACUCACUGGUGCCUAUGAGAGCCAAUUCCCGUUAUAAAACACCACGUAAAACGACAGAGACCUUGGGACCGCUUAGAGCAGAAGAAAUAAUAAACAUCCCACAGAGAGGAAAUGAAGUUCCCCCCCUCCCGUCUUUCCUUUUCGCUCCACCGCAUAAUAAUGACACAGCCCUCAAGGUUUGGCAUCAGUUCCCAUCUGCAGGAGCCAUACUGAAGGUUCUUUAUCACAGCAGGCUUCCCAGAGGCCAGCAAUCUUCUGCCACCUGGUUAAGCUGGCUUUAUAGCUGUGUCACAUCAGAAGAAGUGAAUAAAGGAGUAAUUAGGGGACAAGAGAAGGCACAGUGCAGCUCUAGCAGGACUGCCUGGAGAUGAAAAGACAGUGGUUUUGGGGUGUGAAGCUGGAUGCAAAGAUAAAGUUUCACACUGAAGGCUGGUGGUAGCAAUGAAGCAUUUGGGAGCUGGCUACAAACCCAUGAAGGACAUACUGGGACAAGUAGGUCUUGGAUAUUAUUAAGGUGACCUCCAGCCAAAACUCCGGGUUUUCUGCCUGAAAAGGCAGUGAGUCUUAUCCUCAGAGCAACUUCCAUGUGCUCCUUGUAAGGCAGCACAAACACAGCCAGUGACCAUGUUUCUAUGCUGCGGACAAGAGCAAAGAGCUACUCCUCAGUUGUGAGGGCUUGUACCUCUGAGCAAUAUCAUAUUUAUCAAGAGAGCACUCUGCCUAACCACACAAGGUCUCCUGUGCUCAUCACCAUGGUAUCUGAGUGUCUCAUUUAUUAUAGAAACAAACAACUCACUUCAGAAACGAGUUAAGGUUGCUAAGUGACAACAAUGUACUUACUUACCACAUCAUUUGCAAAACCCUCACACUUAAAAACAAGGAAAUGAAUGAUUAAGGACUCCUGAAACCCUAUACUGCCCACAUGUUAAAUCUGUAUUUUUUAGCUGAGUACAAAGAAGUGCACUUUUUCUUUAGGCAAAACAACCUCCUGCUUAACCUGUGGAUUGUUUUCUUUUUCGUUUCCCCUCUUUUAGGUGAUAUUUUCUAUUUCAUUGAAUUUGGUGUACAAACAUUUUCUUUGAAGGAAUAUUCCUAAGAGGUAAAUAUAAUUAGUUACUUGAACUAUUUCCAAGUCCCAUUACUAACAGCUUAUACUGCAUUUGUAAUAUGUGCCCGGUUUUCUAGGUGAAAGAAAAAAGUCCAUAAUAUCGUCUUCAAAUCAACAUUCAUUUUGGAGGUGUUCCACAUUGUUUGAAAAGGAUUUGUUUUCUGUUUAAAUUCUAGAAGUGGUCAUAGAAAAGUCAGAAUUAAGGUUGUUGAGAUGUUUUCUGACACAUUUCAUUGUAUUUGACAAAACGACUUAGAAUCCAAACUCAUCUAAAGUCAAGAAGAACUUUGUCACUGUGCUCAGACUGGUCAGGAUUUCACCCUUUGUAUGUUUUGUGAAGGCAAUAAAAGAUGUAUGACGUUCUUAAUUAUUUAUCUGCUGGCUUUUAAACACUUGGGGUUUGUACCUAAUGCAACAGAAACAAGUGGUGCUGAGGGAGUAAUGCCGUUACUUAAUUGCAACUCGUUUGAGGAACAAAACUGCUGUUUAUUUCAGGA